GUUGAAACACCGGUUUCCGUAUGAUCACGGAUCGUUAAGCAACGAGGAUCCUGGUCAGUACCUAGACGGGUGACCGCUUGGGAAUACCAGAUGCUGUAUA